UUUAAGGACAGAAAGAAAACAUAGAAAGAAAGCUUACUAAUAAAUAUAUAGCUGCAGGACUUGUCUUAAAGUGAAGGUUUUUAGAUUGUCUGUCAUGAAAACAACUAUUGACAAAAAAACUUAUGUACUUACAACCCUACUAAGAGAUCUUGACCAUGUAGGUAGCUGAAGAAACUCUACAACUGUCAGUAAAGCAACUUUAUGAUUAUAAUCCCAGUCUUGCUGAGAAAUACAGCAAAGUUUCCAUCAAGGACGUCAUGUUUUCUCAGAUGUUCUGUGAACCAUCCCACUCUGAUAACGCAAUUUACUGAAAUUGAUGUAAUGCCCUCUCUAGAUUAGUCAUUGUCAGAACAGUUUCCUCUGCCAAAUAUUUCACAGGAAAAACUUAUCAAGCUAGUCAUCUUGGGGCCAGCUGGUAUGCAGCAGUAACAAGUGACGGUGUACAAGGCAAUCCCACCUGGGAAAAUUCCUGGUUUAAAUUCAGAGACCUCCGUGAGUACUAUGGACACACGUACAUUUGCCCAUGAUCAU